AUGGAACGUCUUCUCCAUGUCAAACCAGACUACACAUCUCUCCGUGUCUUUGGCUGUGCUUGUUGGCCAAAUCUCCGUCCGUACAAUAAUCGCAAACUCAUGUUUAGAUCAAAGCAAUGUGCUUUUCUUGGCUAUAGUGCCCAACACAAAGGUGUCAAAUGCCUUGACAUCUCCACCGGCCGGGUCAACAUCUCCCGCGAUGUCGUGUUUGAUGAGACCAAGUUUCCCUUUGCGCAUCUACAUCCUAAUGCCGGUGCUCUCCUAUGGAAGGAAAUCUUGCUUUUACCAUCUCAUCUCUCUGGCUAUGAUUAA
rnacentral:rRNA from 1 species